rnacentral:rRNA from 1 species
AGUUCGAUUCUGGCUCAGAUUGAACGCUGGCGGGAUGUCUUACAUGCAAGUCGAACGGCAGCACGGACUUCGGUCUGGUGGCGAGUGGCGAACGGGUGAGUAAUGUAUCGGAACGUGCCUAGUAGCGGGGGAUAACUACGCGAAAGCGUAGCUAUGCCGCAUACGCCCUUCGAGGAAAGCGAGGACCUUCCAGGCCUCGCACUAUUAGAGCAGCCGAUAUCGGAUUAGCUGGUUGGUGAGGUAACGGCUCGCAAGGCGACGAUCGUAGCUGGUUUGAGAGGACGACCAACCAUAAGGACUAAGACACGGCCCAGACUCCUACGGGGAGGCAGCGGUAGAAUUUUUGGACAAUGGGGAAACCUGAUCCAGCCGCAUCGCGUGUGCGAUGAAGGCCUUCGGGUUGUAAAGCACUCUUGGCAGGAAAACGGCACGGGAUAAUACCCGUGUGGCUGCAGAAUAAGCACCGGCUAACUACGUGCCAGCAGCCGCGGUAAUACGUAGAAUUGCAAGCGUUAAUCAGGUGCUGGGCGUAAAGCGUGCGCAGGCGCGGUUCAGAAAGAAAGAUGUAAAAUCCCCAGAGCUUAACUUUAAAUUCACGUUUUUAACUACGAGCUAGAAAGUGUGUCAGAAGUGGAAUUCCGCGUAGCAGUGAAAUGCGUAGAUAUGCGGAGGAACACCGAUGGCGAAGGCAACCCUCUGGGAUAACACUGACGCUCAUGCACGAAAGCGUGGGAGCAAACAGGAUUAGAUACCCUGGUAGUCCACGCCCUAAACGAUGUCAACUAGCUGUUGGGGCCUUCGGGCCUUGGUAGAAACAAUAACGCGUGAAGUUGACCGCCUGUACGAAGUCGGUCGCAAGAUUAAAACUCAAAGGAAUUGACGGGGACCCGCACAAGCGGUGGAUGAUGUGGAUUAAUUCGAUGCAACGCGAAAAACCUUACCUACCCUUGACAUGUGGAAUCCCGAAGAGAUUUGGGAGUGCUCGCAAGAAGACCGAUUUGGUGCUGCAUGGCUGUCGUCAGCUCGUGUCGUGAGAUGUUGGGUUAAGUCCCGCAACGAGAGCACCAACCCUUGUCAUUAGUUGCUACGAAGGGCACUCUAAUGAGACUGCCGACAAAACCGGAGGAAGGUGGGGAUACGUCAAGUCCUCAUGGCCGCCCUUAUGGGUAGGGCUUCACACGUCAUACAAUGGUCAGGACAGGGGGUCGCCAACCCGCGAGGGGCCAAUCCCAGAAACCCGAUCGUAGUCCGGAUCGCAGUCUGCAACUCGACUGCGUGAAGUCGGAAUCGCUAUUAAUCGCGGAUCAGCUUCAUGUCGCGGUGAAUACGUUCCCGGGUCUUGCACACCGCCCGUCACACCAUGGGAGUGGGUUUUACCGAAGUAGUUUAGCCUAACUUAACAAGCGGAGGGCGAUUACCACGGUAAUGGGAUUAUCAUGACUGGGGGUGAAGUCGUAACAAGGUAA